AUUGAACGCUGGCGGCAUGCCUUACACAUGCAAGUCGAACGGCAGCAUAGGAGCUUGCUCCUGAUGGCGAGUGGCGAACGGGUGAGUAAUAUAUCGGAACGUGCACUGGAGUGGGGGAGAACUAGUCGAAAGACUAGAUAAUACCGCAUACGAUCUACUGACGAAAGUGGGGGAUCGCAAGACCUCAUGCUCCUGGAGCGGCCGAUAUCUGAUUAGCUAGUUGGUGGGGUAAAAGCUCACCAAGGCGACGAUCAGUAGCGGGUCUGAGAGGAUGACCAGCCACACUGGGACUGAGACACGGCCCAGACUCCUACGGGAGGCAGCAGUGGGGAAUUUUGGACAAUGGGGGCAACCCUGAUCCAGCAAUGCCGCGUGAGUGAAGAAGGCCUUCGGGUUGUAAAGCUCUUUUGUCAGGGAAGAAACGGUUCUGGAUAAUACCUGGGACUAAUGACGGUACCUGAAGAAUAAGCACCGGCUAACUACGUGCCAGCCGCCGCAGUAA
rnacentral:rRNA from 1 species